CUCAAACUGAGUUUUCCAGCAGUUAAUGUGCUGGAGAACUCAGUUCAAUUAAUGUGACAACUAUUAACACAAAUCCCUGCUGUAGUUAAAUCUGGUUAUCUCAAAAGUGCCACUUAGUGUGCCACCUCCAAGCAAACAGAACUAUUAUUCUAACUAUCAUGAUGACCAACAAAUCUUACCUCAGGAGGCAGCAUGUUCCAAUAUAAAUUGGUCAAUACGACUGCUUUUCUGAGGCUAUUAGUUCUGAACAGAUGUAGUAUAAAAGUAACAACAUGAGCUUGUCGUGUACUGAAAUCAACAGAAUUUUAAAGCCAUGUUGUUAGGAAAAGGCUGUAGAGAUGGUAAAUCUUUUUGUUGAUCACCUGCUUCAGGCCAUGUUUUCCCUUCACUGAUGCUCUUUGUGUCCACCGCUGUCAAAUUUGCUCUUUUUGAUAGAUUCAGCUAAAAUAUGAGAACACACAAUGAAUGAGCCUAUUAAUUAUUCAGUCCUUCUGAGGUUGAAUGAUUAAUAGGUCAAUGUUAAGUGGCUUAACAAAGAAAAAUCAUUUCACUGAGUAUUGUCAGGAUUUCAAACAGAAGAAAAUAUCAGAGACCUUCAGAAAUCCUGGCAAGCUAUAAAUUAAUAUCAAGCAUACAGAGCACUUGUCUUGACAGCCAAAGUUGAGUUCUGAAUUUUAAGAUUUGCUGUUUUUACUUUAUCCAUCCAUCUCUAGAUGGAUGGAUAAAGUAGAGCAAUAGAGCAAUGACCACAAUAAUGUUUAAAUUAAAUUUUAAAAAUUGUGCAACUCUAAUUUUAAAUUGUAAAAUUAGAAUGAUUAAAAUGGAAAAUAUGUAGGGAAUGGUGUUUAACCACUAUUUAGUUUAACAUGGUGUUUCAAAACAGACUCCAACUUUAGGAAUCAACUAGUUGAGACCAUUACUCUGGCAAACUAAAUGGACUCCUCAUGAGCUUUAGUUUUAUUGAAAUUAAAGCUCCAUCACAUCACUGCUCUGUCUCAUUCAUUUAUUUUAUUCAUUUGCUUUUUGAGUUUCUCAUCAUUUGUCCCUUUUGUUCCUCAUUUUGUCUUCCUGUGUCACUGCUCUCACACUGUGCUCAGUUAUUGUGGUUGGUGCCUUUGCCUCAAGUCGAGGUCUGAUUGUCCCUCGGACGGGGCUUACUGGAUGGAACCAAGCACCUACACAGUGCCAUACACCUGCCCUGCCUGCCAGAAACUAGAACAAGAUGAGUUCAAUCGGCAGAGCCAUCUCCAUCAGUGUGUUGCACCGCUGCAGCAGCCGCCACCUUCACAACUGGAGCACUCUCUGCCACCACCUCACUUUGAAACUCUUAUCACUUAGUCAGGGACUCGCUCACUUCCUGUUGCAUCACUACACAACCAAACAGCAGGUGCCUUAACACAGAACAGCUUUUGUCUCCUGGUGGAUCCUAUCCUGUGGUGAGUAAAAAGCCAAAGAAGCCACAGCGGCGGCAGAUGAACAACAGACUGAAGCCUCUGACUCUGGCCUAUGAUGGAGACGCCGACAUGUAGAAGUCUUCCUCCUUACAGACGUACUGUACAAAAUUUUGUCCUCACUCAGGACGCAGGGUUGCUGGUAAUACCCGUUAAUGUCAGGAUCAUGACUGGACAUUGGUCAGCAAAUAUGCAGACUAAGUUUCUGACAGAAAAAGAAACCGCUGAGCUCAAGACACUACAACUCUGUGUUUAUUAGCAGCUUUGAUGUUUCCAUUUUAACAUUUUAAAUAUAAUUUUUUUUUUUUAAAUAGCCUUCAUGACUUCACUAACUUCCUCUGGAAGUCUGCCUUUGCUUCUUUGAUAUCUACUACCACAAAUUGCAUUCAGAUCAUAUUUAGGGGAGAGGAGGAAACCAGAAGAGAUUUCCUGUAAAAGCACAAAUAUUCAGUCAUUAGUUGUUCAUUUCUUAACAGCUUAGUUGCAUGGUCUUUGCUCUUGGUCCUUCAAAGAACAUUUUGUCUUCUCUUAGUCAUUGCUUGAUGGACAGAACUGAAAAGUAAAAAUUUCACCAAAAAAAAAAAAAGGAAAGCGAGCCCAAAGGAUCCUCGAGCUGCCAUCAUUCUGCCUGCCUCUCCCUUCUUAUUUCCAGGCGUAAUUUUGCACUAUAUUAGUGCAGCAUGAUAUGUACUUAUGUCUCGCUUUGCCAUAUGAAAACUGCCUCUCUCAAUACAAGAUGAUGUACAACUCUUGUGCUAGAAAUGUACAAAAAUACCUUUUGCUAACAGAACUUAACAAUGUUUGAUAAUUUUUUUGUAAUACCUCUUGUAUGUUGUACAACAGAAUUUUGUAAAUAGAUUUUCUGUGAUUUCACUUUGGCUAUCUAAUACACAAUGUAAUGCUCUGUAUCCAAAUCUCUGUUGUAGCCUUUAUUUGAGCAGGUAACUGUGACUUUACAUUAGGAUUUUUCACCAUAUUAGGAAAUUUAAGUUACAUCAAUAAAAUACCCUUACCCAUCUGAAACUGCUAGAUUAAAAAUAUCUCCCUAAUCUAUACAUUUCUGAUCAAAAUCUUAAGAAAGGGCAGCGCUGUUUGCAUUUUGUGCUGGUGGUUUGUAACCAGGUUGUCAGCUGGUUUCUAAAUGCAAAAAAAAGAAACAGGAGCAAGAGAGAAAACAAACAAUAUAACAUUUUAUUGAAUACAUAGUAAGUUGCUCCACUCAUAUCGGAGUUUUUAAAUAUUCGUCCAUCCCCAAAAGUUUUCUGUGGGAUUCCAUUCAAGAUAAUGUGCAUGACCCAAACGAGGCUCUAAAGACAACAAGCUGCUUUGUCAGGUGGCAGACAGAUGAAACCCCAACCCUUCUGGUCAUACUGUCCGUUUAAAUGACUUCUACUCUAGAGCUGUCUUCACUGAGCUGUAUUAAAAAACUACUCAUUCACAUUGGAAGCCAUCAGGUCCAUCUAAUAACUUUUAUUCUCAUCAGAAAAUGUUAAGAUAUUCAGCCUUUCAAUGGGCUGGCAAAUCUAAAUGGCCAGGUUUGUAGUGUGGGCUUUGAAGACUUUUAUUUUGUUCUUUAAGGCCGUCUCUCAGAAGUUGCCUUUAUGAUAACUGAACUGUAGUCAGAAUUAGUGAGGACCUUAAUUUGAGAAGCUUGUGUCUUCACAGGCAACAGAACAUCUAGCUCAUUGCAGUUGAAACCUCUUUAGGUCUACCUUUAGACUUUUUCGUCCCAUAAUGUUUUAGAGGUUUAUAAUGAAUCUCUUACUACAUCCAGCUUUGGCAGUCAUGGCACUUUGUGAGACAAACUUGCUUGCGCAGCUCAACAAUCCUGCCACAUCCAAAGACAGAGAAUGUCUUCCUACUUUUGUCUUCCUGACAAAAGCAGGAAUACUUUUGUCAGGACAGAACUGAAAAGUAGGAAUACUUUUGUCAGGGGAACUUGACAAUGUAAUGAAAAUGACAUGAAUACCCAGAUUUUAACUGUUUGAGGCAGGUCUGAAUAGAAUCUUAAACUUUCGACCAUCUGAUAAUUAGAUCUGUUUGAGCUUAAAUGCAAAUUUACCUCUAUUGCCCACAAUAAGAAGUCUCUUGCUUCUGUGUUUUCAUGUUGAACAUUGCUGUUCUUGCAGAGGUCAUCAUCCACCUCUACAUGAAAUGUGAAUACUUCAAAAUUCUUAAUGUUUUAACCAGAAAUGGAUUCCAGUUUCAGUUUUCACAAGUUGUUCUUUUCUUUAUUUUGUUUUUAGAAAUAUAGUUGUUUAUCUUUGAUUACUUUUUCUGCUAUUUAAAGGAAACCCAUUAUGCAAAAUGUACUUUCUGAUUCCUGCUACUGGAAUCACAAACUGCUAAUGAUGCAGACAGUAGCAGUUUAUUUGCAUAAAAGUGACAGCAAUAAAACAGCUCAUUCUGAAAGGAAUUCAAAGUAGGCAGAACUAAACAGGUGAAAUAUCAUUGUCUUAAAAUGAUUUUGUGCAAAAUAUGUAAAGAACAUUGUCUGUUUUGCCCAUAGAUCAAUGUUCUUCAAUUCCAGUCCUCAGGAGCCACUGCCCUAUGUGUUUUAGAUGCGUCUUUGUUCCAGAACACCUGAUUCAAAUGAUAGCAUGACCUCCUCUGCAUGUCAUCCAGAGCUGCAGAAGCCUGUUUAUCACCUACUUGUUCCAGUCAGGCAUGUGGCAGAAGGAAGCACCUGCAACAUGCAGGGCUGGGUCCCUGCGGGCCAGGACUGAGAAACACUGCCACACACCCAUUCUAUGUUGUUUAAAGGGAAGCAAAUAAGGUCCUCUCAGCCAUCAGUCUGCCAUGUCUGUGCUUUGUAUAAUACCCAUUUAUACUUCAAUCUGCAUUUAUAGUCUGUCUUUCAAAGAAAUUGCUGCAUUUAGCACAAAAUUUUGUAUGAAAAGACAGAUUUUAUAGUUUGUAGUAGUUAAUUGAUAAAUGACUGAAGCCCAGUUGGAGGUGUUUAAAAAAUUGAAACAUGGGAUGUUAAUGGAGGAGUGUUCUGGUAUUAUUCAUCUUGUAUCACAGACAAUGUAACCAACAGAAAGCCUUUAUGGGAGGGUUUAUUGUUAAACUCUAAAUUCCUUCAGUAGACAGAGAGGUAAUUAAUUAAAAAUUACAUGUUGAACAUGUUUUUUUUUUCUCUUCCACAUGGCAGUGCCCUUAAUUUUAAACAAUAGUUUUAAAAUACAACUCUUUGCAUUCUAAAUGGUCUUCCCCAAAUACUCAAGUAAUCCAAAAUAUAACAAGUCACUUUGAGGUGGUAGGAAGAAUUAUAUUGUUUUGUGGAAUGUGUACAUGGAAUGUUUAAUUUAUUUUUUUUCUAAGCUUAUUAUUUGUAAAUAAUGGUUUUAUUCUUAAUUUUAUUUAUUACUAAUGUGACAUAAUGUUUCUUUUUGUACUGCACAUGUUUCACAUAAAGGUAAUUGAAAGAAAAAACAGGAGUGAAUGUGGUUGUAAAAGUGAAAAGCUACCUUGUAAAAAAGUUGCUUCUAAACUUCUCUUUUUCUUUACUGUUUCUUUAUAUGUAUUUGAUUAACUACUGAUAAUAAACAAUCAAAAACGUG